rnacentral:rRNA from 1 species
CCUACGGGGGGCAGCAGUAGGGAAUCUUUCACAAUGGGCGAAAGCCUGAUGGAGCAACGCCGCGUGCAGGAUGAAGGCCUUCGGGUUGUAAACUGCUGUUAUAAGCGAGAAAUAUGAGGGUAACUUAUGAAUAAGGAUCGGCUGACUACGUGCCAGCAGCCGCGGUCAUACGUAGGAUCCGAGCAUUAUCCGGGGUGACUUGGUGUAGAGAGUUGCGUAGGUGGCAUAAUAAGUAGCUAGGGAAAUCUGGUGGCUCAACCAUUCAGACUAUUAUCUAAACUGGUAAGCUCGAGACCGGUAGGGGUAACUGGAAUUUCAAGUGUAGGAGUGAAAUCCGUAGAUAUUAGAAGGAACACCAAUGGCGAAGGCGGGUUACUGGUACGUUUCUGACACUAAGGCACGAAAGCGUAGGGAGCAAACGGGAUUAGAUACCCCAGUAGUC